rnacentral:rRNA from 1 species
AACGCGAAGAACCUUACCUACCCUUGACAUCCUAGGAAGACUGCAGAGAUGCGGUUGUGCCGAAAGGAACCUAGAGACAGGUGCUGCAUGGCUGUCGUCAGCUCGUGUUGUGAGAUGUUGGGUUAAGUCCCGUAACGAGCGCAACCCUUAUCCUUAGUUGCCAACACGUAAUGGUGGGGACUCUAAGGAGACUGCUGGUGAAGAACCGGAGGAAGGUGGGGACGACGUCAAGUCAUCAUGGCCUUUAUGGGUAGGGCUACACACGUGCUACAAUGGGGUGAACAGAGGGAAGCCAACCCGCGAGGGGGAGCCAAUCCCGUAAAACACCUCUUAGUCCGGAUUGAAGUCUGCAACUCGACUUCAUGAAGUUGGAAUCGCUAGUAAUCGCGAAUCAGAACGUCGCGGUGAAUACGUUCCCGGGCCUUGUACACACCGAGACGUA